AACGAACGCUGGCGGCAGGCUUAACACAUGCAAGUCGAACGCCCCGCAAGGGGAGUGGCAGACGGGUGAGUAACGCGUGGGAACAUACCCUUUUCUACGGAAUAGCUCUGGGAAACUGGAAUUAAUACCGUAUACGCCCUACGGGGGAAAGAUUUAUCGGGGAAGGAUUGGCCCGCGUUGGAUUAGCUAGUUGGUGGGGUAAAGGCCUACCAAGGCGGCGAUCCAUAGCUGGUCUGAGAGGAUGAUCAGCCACAUUGGGACUGAGACACGGCCCAAACUCCUACGGGAGGCAGCAGUGGGGAAUAUUGGACAAUGGGCGCAAGCCUGAUCCAGCCAUGCCGCGUGAGUGAUGAAGGCCUUAGGGUUGUAAAGCUCUUUCACCGAUGAAGAUAAUGACGGUAGUCGGAGAAGAAGCCCCGGCUAACUUCGUG
rnacentral:rRNA from 1 species